rnacentral:lncRNA from 1 species
AGACUAGGGGCGAGUUUGGAGCAAGUAACUGUCAGUGAGGUUGCAGUUGGUCUGGGCUGUUUGGCUGUGAGCGAAAUAGCUGCCCCCCACUUCUCACUUGCACACCACGGGAUACUCCUCCUGAGGCUCCGGAUGCAUUUUUGAACCGGCACUUGGAAGACUUUCCAAUUCCUGUCCCUGUGAUAUUAUUUUUACUUGGAUGCAGUUUUGAAGUAUUAAGCUUUACAUCUUCACAGGUCCAAAGAUACGCAAACGCCAUACAAUGGAUGAGUCCAGACUUAUUUUUUCGUAUAUUUACACCAGUAGUUUUCUUUACUACUGCAUUUGACAUGGAUACGUACAUGCUUCAAAAGUUAUUUUGGCAGAUACUUUUAAUUUCAAUUCCCGGCUUUUUGGUUAAUUAUAUCUUAGUUCUUUGGCAUCUGGCAUCUGUAAAUCAAUUACUUUUGAAGCCUACCCAAUGGUUAUUAUUUUCAGCUAUCCUUGUGAGUUCAGAUCCCAUGCUAACCGCAGCUGCUAUA